rnacentral:lncRNA from 1 species
AAUUUAUAUAUGACAACAGAAUGCAUUACAAUUCUUAUUACACAUAUAGAGCACAAUUUUUCAUAUCUCUGGUUGUAUACAUAGUAUAUUCACACCAAUUCGUGUCUUCAUACCUGUACUUUGAUAAUAAUGAUCAUUACAUUCCACCAUCAUUAAUAACCCCAUGCCCCCUCCCUUCCCCUCCAACCCCUCUGCCCUAUCUAGAGUUCAUCUAUUCCUCCCAUGCUUCCUCUCCCUAUCCCACUAUGAAUCAGCCUCCUUAUAUCAAAGAA